rnacentral:rRNA from 1 species
UGCCAGCAGCCGCGGUAAUACGAAGGUGGCGAGCGUUAUUCGGAAUCACUGGGCUUAAAGAGCACGUAGGCGGAAUACCAAGCGUCUUGUGAAAUCCCUCGGCUCAACCGAGGAAUUGCAGGGCGAACUGGUAUUCUUGAGGCAGGUAAGGGUGAGUGGAACUCUUGGUGGAGCGGUGGAAUGCGUAGAUAUCAAGAGGAACGCCGGAGGUGAAGACGACUCACUGGGCCUGUCCUGACGCUGAGGUGCGAAAGCCAGGGGAGCGAACGGGAUUAGAUACCCCGGUAGUCCUGGCCAUAAACGAUGUCCACUAGGUCGAUGACAUUCUGACAUGGUGUCGGCCGAAAGAAAACCGUUAAGUGGACCGCCUGGGGAGUACGGUCGCAAGGCUAGAACUCAAAGGAAUUGACGGGGGCUCACACAAGCGGUGGAGCAUGUUGCUUAAUUCGAUGCAACGCGAAGAACCUUAUCCUGGGCUUGACAUGCUUGGAUGCCCCCCUGGAAACAGGGAUCGGCUGCCCUUCGGGGUGAAACUUGCACAGGUGCUGCAUGGCUGUCGUCAGCUCGUGUCGUGAGAUGUUGGGUUAAGUCCCGUAACGAGCGAAACCCUUGUCGUUAGUUGCCAGCGGGUCAUGCCGGGGACUCUAACGAGACUGCCGGUGUCAAACCGGAGGAAGGUGGGGAUGACGUCAAGUCCUCAUGGCCUUUAUGCCCAGGGCCGCAAACGUGCUACAAUGGCUGGUACAAACCGACGCGAGACCGCGAGGUGGAGCAAAUCGGAAAAAGCCAGCCCCAGUUCGGAUUGCAGUCUGCAACUCGACUGCAUGAAGUCGGAAUCGCUAGUA